UGACGUCAGCCAGCUCACGCAGCAGUCACGUUCACACUCCUGCUAACAACAAUGCCGGGCAGACGUUUCAGUGAGUCUUGGCUCACUGUGGGUGACACAGGACCCACAUGGGAUGAAUGCUAUGCCGUCUCUUCCACCGACUGGUUUUUUGAAGAUGACAUCGUCAUCCCAAAUUCAACGAUGGAGUCGAAGUUGGACGACUCCGGUCCAGCUGAGAAGGAUCCUGUAGAUCCAAAGGAUCAAGAACAAUCUUCAUCUUCUCCUGUUUUGCCUUUGGAUAUGCUUCCACCUCUCAAUUCCCCGAUUCCAUCCACUUCAACAUCUUCGUCAAUACCCCCCACAGCUCCAAGGAUCAGGCCCAUCCGCGCUGCAUCAACCCCCUCCAGGGCUAGACGAUUUCAUCGAUUUAAAGCACCCUUUGCCAUGCGACAUGGUUGCGGCAGCUGCUGCUGCUGCUGCAACUGCAGCUGUAGGAGUUUCAGACCAAGAAGAUCCUGGCCAAGAAUAUACAGGCCUGGAAAAAGAACAUGGGAGCACCUUCCUGUGGUCAUGAAUGCUUCCAGGUGGUACCAGGUGGUCGGCAGCAUGCAGUGCAUUCACUGCAAAGCCCAGGGAAGGCACCAGCUGACGUCAUGGAUGUGUCAGAGCUGCCAUGUGCCUCUCUGUCUGAUGCCAUAUCGGAAUUGCUACGCCAGGUGGCAUGAUCAGAGGUGUUGAGUACAGAGGAUGGAAGCUUUUGUUCUGAAAGGAGAAGGCAGUUGAAGUUUGUUCUCCGUGAUGGGACGAAUUUUUGUGUUUGUGAAACUUUUGUUAGCCUGAAGACUUAUAAUGUUUAUUCUUUACUGUAUCUAACAGGCAUCAUGCUAAAUUUGGUGUUAAGAAGAGGGACACCACUUGUUUUUACUUUCUCUGAAGAGUUCCUUAAAUAUGUCUAAUUACAAGAAAUAUUCUCUUCAAACGUUGCUGUGGAGAAAAAGUGAAAAAGUUUGUUUUUGAGGUGGUCAACUGGUUUGCACUUCAUUGUUCAUUAUAAUCAUUAUUCUUACAUUCUUAGAGUUGUAAUUAGGUUAUUUAGGAACAAAAAAAGUUUUCCUGAUUCUGUAAAUGUUGGUUCCAGAUUAAAGUGCAGUUAAAUUACA